UGGUGGAGCGUUGUCAUCCAUGAACAGAAAGUUGGGAUGUUCUGGUGGAAUUGGGGGAUGGUGAUGGUUCUAUGAUGUCUCUGAGACUGUUGCUCCACCAAAGCAAACCCGGGGACCACAUUGACCUCGGCGUAUCGCUCACCUCGCCUUUUCCAGCAUCGCUGACGACCAUCAUUUCUGUGCAAGGUGAACAAACAUUUAUAGGUGAACAGGGAGGUAGACCUGCAUUGUCCAAGUCACAUGGUCUUGUUUCUACUGCAAACGUUCACGGCAGUGUCUUGGUGUCAGUGGAGUCACCUGCAACAGUCGCCUGUCAUUCCAGUUAAAGCAGUGGAGUCACCAAGUUCAUCUGCAACAUCUGACUGCCUGCUACCAACCUGAAGGUGCUAUGACCAGGUGGUGCUGCUUGUUCGUUAAGGGAUGUCAUGUGUUCAUGGCUGUUUGAAUGAUGAACUUGGAAUGACUGACUGGCUAAAUCAGCUUUUUAUCCCCACAGAAUGUUGACAUUGAUGCAGCAUUAAAAAAGUUCUUCUUUUAGAAUAGUUUGGUUCUGGCUCCAAUAAGUGAAACACACUGAAAGCAGUGAGACCAUCAUGAGGAAAACACUGGAUAAAGUUUCUCCAUCACCCCUAUCCUGAAAAUCUAUGAAGUGAAACAAACACUGUUUGUGAAAUCCACUCAGAGUUUCACAAUAUCCUCAACUUAGUGUGAGUGGUAUAUUUGGAGCUUCUUGCUGUAAACAUUUUUGGAUCUGAGCUCACUCUGCUCAGUCCCUUCCUCACACAGCAUUAAUGUUGAGAUGUGGGUCAGUCUGAAGUCAAAAGCCACAUACUUGCAAUCUUCCAUGAACCUCAAUGUCCUAAUCUUUGGUAAAAAGUUCAGUUUUAUUUUUUCCUGAAACCUGUUCCAUUUGUUUUUUUUGUGAUGUUGAGCUGAUGGUUUCUGGAGCACUGCUCUACAAAGUUGUCUGGGCGUCCCCUACUCUAUCUCUGUCCUUUCCUGCUGCAGUAAUGGAGAAAGGACAGUCCCCCGAUCUGCUCCAGUGUCUUCUGAUCACAGCAGACUGAGAUGUCUUCUGUCUCACAAACUGGGGUCUCAGGCAGAUGACCUAUUAUCCAGGACACAACAACCCUGCCUAGCCAUCCAAACCAGAGAGAGCAUGUUGCACCAGGAGGAGGAGACCACAUGCUGUCCUUUUAAAAAGACUUGGCUGCAUCCAGGAACUCUGGUCAACUUUCAAAAGGCUUUAAAGGGCAGAAAGAGGGAAAUGACGGCUUGCCAACACGUCUGUGACAAUAGCAGGCCGUUAUAAAGUAAAUAAACUUUAAAGGUGUGAUCAAAUGCUGAGUUCUGGUUCUGUUGGUGUUUGGCUGAAGAAUAGAGCUGCUGGUGUCAUAGCAACCAGGUUAUUGUCUAAUGGUAAAGGAAUUUCUACAAAGUUUGUCUGUGCCUGAAAUUCAAGUUCCCUUUUAAAGAAAGUCAGAUGUUUCUACAUCAGCUGUAAGGAGGAACUUGCACAAACAGGUUGAUUCAGUGAAUUCUCCUCACUUACUCCAACUUCUCUCAUGUCCUCCUCCUCUACAUCCAUGAACCUCCUCUUUGGUCUUCCUCUAUAACCAACAUCAUCACUAGUCCUUCUCUCAACAUGUGCAAACUAUCUCAGUCUGUAUUUAUCUUUAAAAAAUCUACCAUGAUCUCUGAUGGGUUCAUUCCUGAUCCUACCCAUCCUCAUCACUCCCAAAGAGAACCUCAACAGAAGCAUGAAGGAAGUGUUUGAACUUGUGUCUCCUGAUCCUCUGUGGGAGGUGUUCCAGGGAAAUGGGGUCCGGGGCCCCUUCUAAGGCUCAUCAGGUCUCUGCAACCACAGCAGCAGUUUGGUUCAUAUUGAAACCCGUUUCUAGAAAUGUCACUGGUACUGGUUCUGUUCAUGACUUUUAUGCACAGAACUUCUAGUCACAGAUUAUGCUGUCCUUGUACAUUCUAUUCUAAUUUAGGCUACUCGGAUUAUGUGGUUUGCUUAUUUCUGAAUCUGCAGCUCUUUUAAAAACAUCAGUUCCCAUUUUCAGCAUUAAGACAAACAUUAAAUAAAAUGUAUUCAGUUU